GAAAGGCAUCAAGUGAUGAUUGAUAACGCAUAGUUCAGAUGAUAAAUUCUAUUAUGAUUAACAUCUUC
rnacentral:snoRNA from 1 species